AGCGAACGCUGGCGGCAGGCCUAACACAUGCAAGUCGAACGGAUCCUUCGGGAUUAGUGGCGGACGGGUGAGUAACACGUGGGAACGUGCCCUUUGGUUCGGAACAACUCAGGGAAACUUGAGCUAAUACCGGAUGUGCCCUUCGGGGGAAAGAUUUAUCGCCAUUGGAGCGGCCCGCGUCUGAUUAGCUAGUUGGUGAGGUAAAGGCUCACCAAGGCGACGAUCAGUAGCUGGUCUGAGAGGAUGAUCAGCUACAUUGGGACUGAGACACGGCCCAAACUCCUACGGGAGGCAGCAGUGGGGAAUCUUGCGCAAUGGGCGAAAGCCUGACGCAGCCAUGCCGCGUGAAUGAUGAAGGUCUUAGGAUUGUAAAAUUCUUUCACCGGGGACGAUAAUGACGGUACUUGAGGAAUCAGCAUCGGCUAACUUCGUGCCAGCCGCCGCCGUAA
rnacentral:rRNA from 1 species